UACAGAGGCCCCAAGCGUUGUUCGGAUUCAUUGGGCGUAAAGGGUGCGUAGGCGGCGGGGUAAGUCAGGUGUGAAAUCCCGGAGCUCAACUCCGGAACUGCACUUGAUACUGCCUUGCUCGAGUACUGGAGAGGAGACUGGAAUUUACGGUGUAGCAGUGAAAUGCGUAGAUAUCGUAAGGAAGACCAGUGGCGAAGGCGAGUCUCUGGACAGUUACUGACGCUGAGGCACGAAGGCCAGGGGAGCAAACGGG
rnacentral:rRNA from 1 species